AGUACAGGAGCUGCAAGAGAGGCGCGCCGGGGCCAGCAAGCUCUAGAACAGCAGGAGCGGCCCCAGUUGGGACCCCGGGACGACGAGUGGCCGGCAACGCGGCGCCCGCAUGGCCCAAGCAGUGUCCGGGAGGGGUCGGGGCCCCGGACUAGGGGCGCAGCGAGGACCGCCCGGAGGCUUUCCCUUGGGCAGCUAAGUCCGAGUCAGCUCUACUCGGAUUUCCAGCUUCCAGCCCCGGCUCUGGUGGGGACCAUGCCUAGGAGAGUAAUCUGAGCUGGGGACUGGGCUCUCCUCCCGCCCCUCCCGGCCCGUGCGCCCCAGGCAUGCGCUCCUCCCGCUGCUCCCUUGGCCCCCAGCGCACAGCUCCAAACCCGCGGGGCGAGCCGUCACCUUACUCUCUAGCCUUAGCCGGCCCCCAAAUUUAAUUUCUGCCCUGGCCGUCAAGCCAUAAAAGUCGAUUAUAAUCGCCGCCCCCCCCCGACCACCCCAACCCCCUGCCUUUGCUCUCGCCCCCGUUUCAGACUUCUCUUCUCUUCUUGAAGUCAAGCCCUCAAGUCGGGACUCUAGGAAGUCCGUUUUCUUCGUCCUAACCCCUUUGUAUCCUCUCCCAUCCCCACCCCUUUCACUCUGCCCUCUGGCUCUGAUUUCUCGGCCUUUCCGUUUUUUCUCUCCAGGUAGAGACAGCUCCGGGCCGGGGGUGGAGGAUGGUGCGGUGGGGAGGAGGCAAGGAAAUUCCCAGCCUUCCUGCGCGAACCUGGGAGACCAGCAGGCACCUGGUCUCGUCCCGCUGGGUCCCCUCCGCACCCAAGACUGUCUUCCCAAGUGGCUUACUCCACAGAAGGAAUGUCGUCAGCUGAUUAUAUCUGAUUAGCAUCCAGUUCCGACGACUCAUCCCUUAAAACCGCCCUCGAGAAGUGUCUAAAGGAGACAGUUGAUAGCCAAACAACAGUUUUGGAUUCACUGACUGAUUAUGAAAGAAGCAGUAGACUGGUAUCAAGAAUCAGUCAGCAAGGAGGCCCUCACCAGACGCCAGUGCCAUGUUCUUGGACUUCUCAGCCUCCAUAUUCAUGAACUAAGUUUUUGGAAUCCUUAGGCUUCCACGUGUGGAAAGCCUGAGCUAACCUACUGGAGGAUGAGCCAUCACCUGGAGCAGAUUCAGGCCAUCCUAGUUGAAGCCUCCCUAGGCCAAGCAACCGUCCAACUACCAGACAUUGACCAUUCAGCCUUGAACAUUCAGCACAAAGACAAAACAGACCAGACCAGAAGAGUCCCACAGAAUAGGGGAAACUAUUCAGAGAAAACUUAAGCCACUAAGUUUUAUGGUGUUUUGUUCUGUAGCAGAAGCAUAGGCAUACUGACAAUACAAACCGAAAUCCUUCUAACGUAGUGGACCUUUUCAGGCCAGCAUUUUUUCCUUGAAAACCUGGAGCAUGUAUCCAUCUUAUAGCAGAGAUCACUUUCACAAUGUUUGGGCUCUUGAUUUGAAUUGAUGAUGUAAUGAGCCCUCUAUCCAGAUUGUAACUAAUUACUCUGCGAAUUGACUGGAUUCCACACCCUUCUAAUAUUUUACUUUUCCUCUUUUAUCAACUCUCAUUCUUGCUGCCAUGAUCAAUGGACCAACUAUGCUUAUAACCACAAAUUUUGAUAUGCUUAAACAAAUGAACAAAUAUAUUUAAUAAUUUCUUUUUUUUUUUUGAAAUAGUAUCUUGCUCUGUCACCCAGGCUGCAGUGCAGCAGCGUGAUCUCAGCUCACUAUAACCUCCACCUCCCGGGUUCAAGUGAUUCUCCUGCCUCAGCCUCCCAAGUAGCUGGGACUACAGGCGCCCACCACCAUACCUGGCUAAUUUUUUGUA
rnacentral:lncRNA from 1 species